UAGGUUAUGCAGUGAUGGUUUUCCUGUCUUGGAGGAGAACGUGGGCCGCUCUGCGGGAAUGUAGAUGAGCUGCCUCUUGCAGCCUUUGUGCCUCGCCUGUACAAUGAGGACUGGGGUGAGGCAGGAGGAUAGAGGCGCUGCUGCCGGAGGACUGCCAAAGGGAGCAUCUCUCCGCUUGAGGCUGACUGCGGCUGUCUGCGGGUGACGCCCUCGCCUUGGUGAGCUGCUCGAGCUGCGACUGCAGCAGAACUGGGGAAGGGCAGCUUUGAUCAAGAGCGCUGGCUGGAAGGUGCUGUGCUCCGAGCCAGGCAACAGUCCUUUCAGGUGCAGUCUGCAGAAUUGAUCCACGUGGCUUGUCCCUGCCUCGGAAAGCUGGCAAGAGUCUGGCAGGGAGCCCAGCAUCACCCGUGAUAUUGGAGCUCCAGUUAAAACAAAAAAUGUGCACCCUGGCCUCGUGCAUGCCUUUUCUCCCUGGCUGGUGGGUUUCCGAGCUCGUGACUUGCUGCGUAUGGCGCUCGCUACCUGUCUGCUGUCCACAAGUCCGAGUCUGUUUUCGGAGAGCAGCUACCCGUGGUGGCCUCCAGUUGAGAGCACACCAGCUCCUCAAGACAAGCCUUGAUCCCAGGGAAAACUCCGCUCCGGUGCGGCAAGAGCUGCAGCUGCCCGCUCUCCCGUUGAGCUGCUGUUGGAGAGAGAGCAGGGCUGUCCCAGAGCCCAGACCCCGCGGCGGAGCGGCCGGCCAGCACGGUGUGCACGGCGGAGCAGCGGGGAGGUCCCGGAACCGCAGCCGGCGGCGGUGCCUGGGAUGCUGCGCUGGUGAUUCGUGAGGUGCUCGCAGGCCCUUGCCCGGCUGCUGCGUUUCGGCUGCCCGCACCCCGUGCUGGCAUGACUGUGUGUAUAUGUGUGUAUGGAGGGUGCUUGUUGCAYACGCGUGUGUCCCUGCCACCGGGAGGUGCUGGUGGAACGGCGCUGAUCCCGCGUUCGUGGGGAUGCGCGCGGCAGCCCCGAGCAGCUUCCCCGGGCGCCCGGCACCUUGCAGACUGGUCUGUCGCCUGUAAUUGAAUCUGGUCUGUCGCGGAUUAGCGCAGCCAUCCGCCGGAGGAGCCGGGCGUUGCUGCGCCGUCACCUCCGAUAGCACCUCCGCCGCACUGCUGCAGCCGGGGCUGCUCCUCCGCCUGGGAAGGAGCCUGAUGCUAAUCUGCCCAGGCGGCAGUUCGGCUGCUCGAGAUGGUCGUGCACCGCGUUUGCAAAC
rnacentral:lncRNA from 1 species